UCGCUUGCAUCUGCGUGUACAUUCUGUCGGACUCCCACAGAAUGAGGUCUCUGUUUCCUUUCUGCCACUACCUAAUAUCAGCUAUGCCCAGGAGCCGGCUGAUGAAGACUUCCUGUUUGUUUUGAGUCACUGUGAGAGUGAUAAAUAUACUUUAGCUUUCUGCUUAGGGAGGAAAGAAACCAGCUGCCCUGAACUAGAGAGAAAAAUGCAGAAUUUUCACUGAAUGGCCCUGUUAUCGUGGAGUUUCAAGGGCAACAUAAAAAUGAAAACUAUAAGCCUGGGCAAAACAAAGAACUUACAUUAAUCACAGGCUUCAUUCCACAUGCUGUUCAUCCAAGGUGAUUACUGAAUAAUGGUUUCCAAUAAAGAAAUUGAGGCCCAGUGAAUCACAUGAGCUGACCAAGAGAUUCAGGAGCAUCCUCAUGGAGGACUAACCCACAAGAUACGAGCUACUGUUGUGGAACUUCUCAAACUUGGUCAAAACAUGUUCUUUAAGUUCCAAACUAUUCCCAGAAGCAAACUGACUGCUGACCAGUAGCCUGUAGAGGAACCUGAUGCUUAAAACUUUUCCAGGGAAUGGACUCCCAAACCACUUUGCCAUGGAUGAAAGAGCUGUCCAGUGACCCAAUAUGAUGAGAAAUUAGAGAAUAUCUACUGGUGCUAAAUAUGAUGGUGGGUCAAGAAAGCCUAAGCAAGGAACUGAUCAAGUUUUAAAAGAGAAAACUAGUAAGAAAGAAAAAAAGAGAGCAAGCUGAAUAGUUUUCUGGACACAUUACAUUUCUAAAUAAAUACUUCUGCAGUAUCAAAGAACAAAGUUCCGCUCCCUGAUGAUGAGCAACAAAAUUACUGGAAAUGUUUGUUAAUACGCUCUUUGUUUAAGGCCUACCAGAGGGAAAAAACACAGCAGCAACAACAACAGCUUAUAGCAGUUCAGAACUUCUGAAGUGUCCAGAGGAAAACAAACUGCAGAGUUUAAGAUUCUCUUCAGAACAGAGCCCAUUUUCGCAGGGUUCUCCAGCUUCUUCCUCUCCCCAACAGUGCAGAGGGCAGCUGCUCUCUCCAAACGCUUGAACGCUUUUACCCUCCCAAGCUGAGUUUGACAGAAUUACCGCAUUGGGGCUGAAAUUCAAAAUCUGAUUGCCAAUGUCAACUAAAACGAAGGCCUUCAUGAAAAACAAAACUGGUUAAGUAUACUUGAGGCUCCGCAUCAGCCCCACUCAUGAGUAAUGAAAAUAUCAAUUUAUGAUGCAUUUGUCUUUUGCUGAUAAAUCCUAUAGAAUUUUUCUUCAGAAAUAGAUGCUUGAAGGAGAAUAAAUUCCAACGACAGUUAUACAGAUUCAAACUUCGGUUUAGGAUUUAAUUUCACAAACAAUAUUUUGGAAUGUCUGUUAUGUGUGAGAUAGUCUAAAUUAAAUUAAAAUAGUUUUUUGAUGUUUAAGAUUUCCUUAGCUCUAAGAAAGAAGGAAUCUUGGUAACUUAAACUGGUUGAAUUUUUUAUUGAUGUUUUUUCUUGUAUCUGGGGAUAUGGAUCAAGGUUUAUCCUUAAAGAAGUGUUAUGGAUUGAAUUGUGUCCCCUCGAAAAAUAUGUUGAAUUCCUAACCCCGUACUGGUGAAUGUGACCUUGUCUGGAAAUAGGAUUUUUCUUUUGUUAUCAGUUAAGUCAAAUGAGAUCAUACUGGAGUAGGGUGAGUCGUAAUCUAAUCCCUACUGAGUGGUAUCUUACAAAAGGAGGGAAUACACAUGAAGAAAAAGUCAUAAACAUGGAAAUGAUAGAUGCCAUGUGAUUACAGAGGCAGAUGCAUCUAUAAGCAGCAAAGGAAUACCAAGGAUUUCCAGCAGCCACUAGAAGCUGGUAGAGAGGUACAGAACAGUUCCUCCAUCAAAGCCCUCAGAAGGUGAUAUGACUGAGACCUUGAUUUAGACUUUUGGCCUCUACAACUGUGGGAAAAUAAAUUUCUGUUCUUUAAAGACACCUGCCUUGUGGUAUCUUGUUAUGGCAGCUCUAGGAGAUUAAGACAAAGGGGGAAAAGUUACAGUGUUUUAUGUGCUUAUUGUGUCCUGGAUUCUGUGCUAGUAGCUUUCUACUUACGUUGCCUGUUUAUUCCAUGUACCAAUCCUAUGAUGUAGGUAUUCUACUUUCAUUUUAAAGAUGAGGUUUAAAUACUUUGUACUUUGAGUGAUUUGCCUAAGGUCACAGAAUCAAUUCAUACUACUCAAUUAUAGUAUGGGGAACACAGGAGAGCCCAGACAGAGAUGUACAAUACCUGGUCGGGGAGGAGAUAGUCUAUAUAUCAAGAGUUUUCGGACCUUGCCAAGUUGUAUCAGAAUUAGUUUGUGUAGCAUAUAUAGGAGUAGCUUCUAAGUGUAUUAAGCUAAUGUGAAUAAACUAUAAGACUACCUUGGACAAAAUUCACCUAUAUAAUUGUGUCUAUCUGGGUUUUGGAACUUAAUGUGUUGGCUCAUCUACCUGGGAAUGAUGUAAAUAUGGGGAAUGGAAGCUGGACUAAAUGGUGGCUUAGAGUCAAUGAGGAAGAAAUGACAGAGCUUCCCUGAAAUGUUGUAGUGGAAGGAGUAUAAAGCUCAGGGAGGUGGGGACAUUAAGAUGAAUCUAUCAUAUGCAACUUGCUCCGCUACUGCCUAAGCAUACCCCCAAGAGGAAACUUCCUUCACCUAAGCAUUCAGUAGUGUAUUGGUAAGGAUACCACCAGCAUUCUUGGAAAGUCUGCAGUGGCUAUCUUCUGUAGGCUGGAGAAGAGAGUAGGAGAUGCUACAAUCGACUGGGCCCACUGAUUUCAGUGGGAAUAAUGGGAUCACCAAGUGGUAGAGGCCAUACAUCAGUGCUUAACCAGUAGAGAGAAGAGGAGUGGAAUUAUCCUAAUAAGUGACAAGGAUGAAGUGAUAAUCAGAGUGUUUUCCCCAUAGGAACUUGUGACAAAGUCGCAUUGAUCAUAGGAUCCCUAGAAAUGAAAUGGACGGUCAGCUUAUGAAGGUAUUGAUUCUCACACAUGGAAAAGUCUACAUUUGGUGGGCAGAAAUGUGACUUGAGUUGCGAAGAUGAGCAUUCAUGGCCUCGUAUUCAAUUGCUAGAGCUAAUUCAGUUCACAGAGUUGGAACUCCUUGCUUCAGGGGGAGACCAGUUCCCCUUGAGGAAGAACAUGCAGUUCUGCCGUAAGGAUAUAACGUGAAUCUCCAUGUUUUCCUCACUUUGUGAGGUGGGAAUGUUAUACUACUAGAUGUGAUAUACACCUACAAGUAGCAACCUAUAUGUGGUGCUGUGUUCCCCAUAUCCAAAAUGCACGCUCACAGGAACCAAGGAGUAGAAAUGGAAGUGGCCCUUAUCUCUAUUGCAGCAAAUAAACUAAUUUAAGAAAUUUUUGUUAAUAUUCUAUGAACUUGAGAUCAGUGGCUUUAAAAGUCCUAAUCCUCCUGAAAGGGAUGGCACUGAGUUUGUGGUACGUUGCUGCAGCAACAAUGGGAAGCUAAUACAGUGGCGAAAUGCAAAGUUACAAAAAAAAAAAAUGGGUGAAGAUCUUGCUUGGCUAUGUAAUUUUUAGAAAAUUGUCCUAUUAAUGUCACUGUGGACUAGUAUAAGGGCAUGUUUAUCAUUUAAAACAAUAAAAUCUCUACCUUUUAAGACACAGUCUGGACCUUCAGUUAUAAUUAAGAAUAGGAAUCUGAGGAUUGCUACAUAGACACAUCUCUGAAAGAUGACAUGUGAGCUUUCAGUGCUUUAAAAAAUGUAAGAAAAUGCUGGGCUAAUUUAUGGAGUAUAGUG